CUGUCUAGAUAGCCAAGGAUGACUUGCCUGUGGCCUCUUGGAGAGAGAGGUGUAGCUUAAUUAGCAGCAUGGUUUGAGCAUUGCUUGAUCGGUUGAUCGCUUCGCUUGCUCUGCAUGAGAUCUUACAGGCAGUCUCCUUGGCUAGUCUGGGCGGC
rnacentral:pre_miRNA from 2 species